rnacentral:rRNA from 1 species
GGGGGACCACCAGUGGCGAAGGGGUUUUUACCAGAACGGGUUCCGACGGUGAGGGAGGAAAGCUGGGGGCACGAACCGGAUUUAGAUACCCGGGUAGUCCUAGCCGUAAACGAUACUCGCUAGGUGUCGGCCACGGUGCGACCGUGGUCGGUGCCGUAGGGAAGCCGUGAAGCGAGCCACCUGGGAAGUACGGCCGCAAGGCUGAAACCUAAAGGAAUUGGCGGGGGAGCACUACAACGGGUGGAGCCUGCAGUUUAAUUGGAUUCAACGCCGGAAAUCUCACCGGGGGCGACAGCAAUAUGUAGGUCAAGCUAAAGACUUUACCAGAAUCGCUGAGAGGAGGUGCAUGGCCGUCGUCAGUUCGUACUGUGAAGCAUCCUGUUAAGUCAGGCAACGAGCGAGACCCGUGCCCACUGUUGCCAGCAUAUCCUUUGGGAUGAUGGGUACUCUGUGGGGACCGCCGAUGCUAAAUCGGAGGAAGGUGCGGGCUACGGUAGGUCAGUAUGCCCCGAAUCUCCCGGGCUACACGCGGGCUACAAUGACUGGGACAAUGGGCUCCUACCCCGAGAGGGGAUGGUAAUCUCAUAAACCCAGCCGUAGUUCGGAUCGAGGGCUGUAACCCGCCCUCGUGAAGCUGGAAUCCGUAGUAAUCGCGUUUCAACAUAGCGCGGUGAAUACGUCCCUGCUCCUUGCACACACUGCCCGUCAAACCACCCGAGUGAGGUAUGGGUGAGGGCAUGGACAAUGUGCUGUGUUCGAACCUAAAUUUUGCAAGGGGGGUUAAGUCGUAACAAGGUAACCAAGGGCGAAUUCCAGC